ACGAACGCUGGCGGCAGGCCUAACACAUGCAAGUCGAGCGCCCCGCAAGGGGAGCGGCGGACGGGUGAGUAACGCGUGGGAACGUACCCUUUGCUACGGAAUAGCCUCGGGAAACUGGGAGUAAUACCGUAUGUGCCCCGUUAUAGAGAUAUGGCGGGGGAAAGAUUUAUCGGCAAAGGAUCGGCCCGCGUUGGAUUAGGUAGUUGGUGGGGUAAUGGCCUACCAAGCCGACGAUCCAUAGCUGGUUUGAGAGGAUGAUCAGCCACACUGGGACUGAGACACGGCCCAGACUCCUACGGGAGGCAGCAGUGGGGAAUCUUAGACAAUGGGCGCAAGCCUGAUCUAGCCAUGCCGCGUGAGCGAUGAAGGCCUUAGGGUUGUAAAGCUCUUUCAGGGGGGAAGAUAAUGACUGUACCCCCAGAAGAAGCCCCGGCUAACUCCGU
rnacentral:rRNA from 1 species